UUAAGUUAUUAAGGGCGCACGGUGGAUGCCUUGGCACUAGAAGCCGAUGAAGGACGUUACUAACGACGAUAUGCUUUGGGGAGCUGUAAGUAAGCUUUGAUCCAGAGAUUUCCGAAUGGGGAAACCCAGCAUGAGUUAUGUCAUGUUAUCGAUAUGUGAAUACAUAGCAUAUCAGAAGGCACACCCGGAGAACUGAAACAUCUUAGUACCCGGAGGAAGAGAAAGAAAAUUCGAUUCCCUUAGUAGCGGCGAGCGAAACGGGAAGAGCCCAAACCAACAAGCUUGCUUGUUGGGGUUGUAGGACACUCUAUACGGAGUUACAAAGGACGACAUUAGACGAAUCAUCUGGAAAGAUGAAUCAAAGAAGGUAAUAAUCCUGUAGUCGAAAAUGUUGUCUCUCUUGAGUGGAUCCUGAGUACGACGGAGCACGUGAAAUUCCGUCGGAAUCUGGGAGGACCAUCUCCUAAGGCUAAAUACUCUCUAGUGACCGAUAGUGAACCAGUACCGUGAGGGAAAGGUGAAAAGCACCCCGGAAGGGGAGUGAAAUAGAACCUGAAACCGUGUGCUUACAAGUAGUCAGAGCCCGUUAAUGGGUGAUGGCGUGCCUUUUGUAGAAUGAACCGGCGAGUUACGAUUUGAUGCAAGGUUAAGCAGUAAAUGUGGAGCCGUAGCGAAAGCGAGUCUGAAUAGGGCGUUUAGUAUUUGGUCGUAGACCCGAAACCAGGUGAUCUACCCUUGGUCAGGUUGAAGUUCAGGUAACACUGAAUGGAGGACCGAACCGACUUACGUUGAAAAGUGAGCGGAUGAACUGAGGGUAGCGGAGAAAUUCCAAUCGAACCUGGAGAUAGCUGGUUCUCUCCGAAAUAGCUUUAGGGCUAGCCUCAAGUGAUGAUUAUUGGAGGUAGAGCACUGUUUGGACGAGGGGCCCCUCUCGGGUUACCGAAUUCAGACAAACUCCGAAUGCCAAUUAAUUUAACUUGGGAGUCAGAACAUGGGUGAUAAGGUCCGUGUUCGAAAGGGAAACAGCCCAGACCACCAGCUAAGGUCCCAAAAUAUAUGUUAAGUGGAAAAGGAUGUGGCGUUGCCCAGACAACUAGGAUGUUGGCUUAGAAGCAGCCAUCAUUUAAAGAGUGCGUAAUAGCUCACUAGUCGAGUGACACUGCGCCGAAAAUGUACCGGGGCUAAACAUAUUACCGAAGCUGUGGAUUGUCCUUUGGACAAUGGUAGGAGAGCGUUCUAAGGGCGUUGAAGCAUGAUCGUAAGGACAUGUGGAGCGCUUAGAAGUGAGAAUGCCGGUGUGAGUAGCGAAAGACGGGUGAGAAUCCCGUCCACCGAUUGACUAAGGUUUCCAGAGGAAGGCUCGUCCGCUCUGGGUUAGUCGGGUCCUAAGCUGAGGCCGACAGGCGUAGGCGAUGGAUAACAGGUUGAUAUUCCUGUACCACCUAUAAUCGUUUUAAUCGAUGGGGGGACGCAGUAGGAUAGGCGAAGCGUGCGAUUGGAUUGCACGUCUAAGCAGUAAGGCUGAGUAUUAGGCAAAUCCGGUACUCGUUAAGGCUGAGCUGUGAUGGGGAGAAGACAUUGUGUCUUCGAGUCGUUGAUUUCACACUGCCGAGAAAAGCCUCUAGAUAGAAAAUAGGUGCCCGUACCGCAAACCGACACAGGUAGUCAAGAUGAGAAUUCUAAGGUGAGCGAGCGAACUCUCGUUAAGGAACUCGGCAAAAUGACCCCGUAACUUCGGGAGAAGGGGUGCUCUUUAGGGUUAACGCCCAGAAGAGCCGCAGUGAAUAGGCCCAAGCGACUGUUUAUCAAAAACACAGGUCUCUGCUAAACCGUAAGGUGAUGUAUAGGGGCUGACGCCUGCCCGGUGCUGGAAGGUUAAGAGGAGUGGUUAGCUUCUGCGAAGCUACGAAUCGAAGCCCCAGUAAACGGCGGCCGUAACUAUAACGGUCCUAAGGUAGCGAAAUUCCUUGUCGGGUAAGUUCCGACCCGCACGAAAGGCGUAACGAUUUGGGCACUGUCUCAACGAGAGACUCGGUGAAAUCAUAGUACCUGUGAAGAUGCAGGUUACCCGCGACAGGACGGAAAGACCCCGUGGAGCUUUACUGUAGCCUGAUAUUGAAAUUCGGCACAGCUUGUACAGGAUAGGUAGGAGCCUUUGAAACGUGAGCGCUAGCUUACGUGGAGGCGCUGGUGGGAUACUACCCUAGCUGUGUUGGCUUUCUAACCCGCACCACUUAUCGUGGUGGGAGACAGUGUCAGGCGGGCAGUUUGACUGGGGCGGUCGCCUCCUAAAAGGUAACGGAGGCGCUCAAAGGUUCCCUCAGAAUGGUUGGAAAUCAUUCAUAGAGUGUAAAGGCAUAAGGGAGCUUGACUGCGAGACCUACAAGUCGAGCAGGGUCGAAAGACGGACUUAGUGAUCCGGUGGUUCCGCAUGGAAGGGCCAUCGCUCAACGGAUAAAAGCUACCCCGGGGAUAACAGGCUUAUCUCCCCCAAGAGUUCACAUCGACGGGGAGGUUUGGCACCUCGAUGUCGGCUCAUCGCAUCCUGGGGCUGUAGUCGGUCCCAAGGGUUGGGCUGUUCGCCCAUUAAAGCGGUACGCGAGCUGGGUUCAGAACGUCGUGAGACAGUUCGGUCCCUAUCCGUCGUGGGCGUAGGAAAUUUGAGAGGAGCUGUCCUUAGUACGAGAGGACCGGGAUGGACAUACCUCUGGUGUACCAGUUGUCGUGCCAACGGCAUAGCUGGGUAGCUAUGUGUGGACGGGAUAAGUGCUGAAAGCAUCUAAGCAUGAAGCCCCCCUCAAGAUGAGAUUUCCCAACUUCGGUUAUAAGAUCCCUCAAAGAUGAUGAGGUUAAUAGGUUCGAGGUGGAAGCAUGGUGACAUGUGGA
rnacentral:rRNA from 6 species